GACGAACGCUGGCGGCGUGCUUAACACAUGCAAGUCGAACGGAAAGGCCCUGCUUUUGUGGGGUGCUCGAGUGGCGAACGGGUGAGUAACACGUGAGUAACCUGCCCUUGACUUUGGGAUAACUUCAGGAAACUGGGGCUAAUACCGGAUAGGAGCUCCUGCUGCAUGGUGGGGGUUGGAAAGUUUCGGCGGUUGGGGAUGGACUCGCGGCUUAUCAGCUUGUUGGUGGGGUAGUGGCUUACCAAGGCUUUGACGGGUAGCCGGCCUGAGAGGGUGACCGGCCACAUGGGGACUGCGAUACGGCCCAGACUCCUACGGGAGGCAGCAGUGGGGAGUAUUGCACAAUGGGCGGAAGCCUGAUGCAGAAACGCCGCGUGCGGGAUGACGGCCUUCGGGUUGUAAACCGCUUUCGCCUGUGACGAAGCGUGAGUGACGGUAAUGGGUAAAGAAGCACCGGCUAACUACGUG
rnacentral:rRNA from 1 species